GGGGGAAUCUUCCGCAAUGGACGAAAGUCUGACGGAGCGACGCCGCGUGAGUGAUGAAGGCCCUUGGGUCGUAAAGCUCUGUCAUCGGGGACGAACGGCUUUAUCAGGAAAUGGGUAGAGAUUGACGGUACCCGAGAAGGAAGCCACGGCUAACUACGUGCCAGCAGCCGCGGUAAUACGUAGGUGGCGAGCGUUGUCCGGAAUUAUUGGGCGUAAAGCGCGCGCAGGUGGGAUCUUAAGUCUGUUCUGAAAGUUCGGAGCUUAACUCCGUGAUGGGAUGGAAACUGGGAUUCUUGAGUAUCGGAGAGGAAAGCGGAAUUCCCCGUGUAGCGGUGAAAUGCGUAGAUAUGGGAGGAACACCAGUGGCGAAGGCGGCUUUCUGGACGAUGUCUGACACUGA
rnacentral:rRNA from 1 species